GAUGAACGCUGGCGGCGUGCCUAAUACAUGCAAGUCGAGCGAACGGACGAGAAGCUUGCUUCUCUGACGUUAGCGGCGGACGGGUGAGUAACACGUGGAUAACCUACCUAUAAGACUGGGAUAACUUCGGGAAACCGGAGCUAAUACCGGAUAAUAUUUUGAACCGCAUGGUUCAAAAGUGAAAGACGGUCUUGCUGUCACUUAUAGAUGGAUCCGCGCUGCAUUAGCUAGUUGGUAAGGUAACGGCUUACCAAGGCAACGAUGCAUAGCCGACCUGAGAGGGUGAUCGGCCACACUGGAACUGAGACACGGUCCAGACUCCUACGGGAGGCAGCAGUAGGGAAUCUUCCGCAAUGGGCGAAAGCUUGACGGAGCAACGCCGCGUGAGUGAUGAAGGUCUUCGGAUCGUAAAACUCUGUUAUUAGGGAAGAACAUAUGUGUAAGUAACUGUGCACAUCUUGACGGUACCUAAUCAGAAAGCCACGGCUAACUACGUG
rnacentral:rRNA from 1 species